UACAUGGGGUGCAAACGUUGCUCGGAAUUAUUGGGCGUAAAGCGCGCGUAGGCGGUUACUCAAGUCGGAUGUGAAAGCCCUCGGCUUAACUGAGGAAGUGCACCCGAAACUGAGUAGCUAGAGUACUAAAGAGGGUCGCGGAAUUCCCGGUGUAGAGGUGAAAUUCGUAGAUAUCGGGAGGAACACCGGUGGCGAAGGCAGCUCGCUGGGACGUGACUGACGCUGAGACGCGAAAGCGUGGGGAGCAAACAGG
rnacentral:rRNA from 1 species